rnacentral:rRNA from 1 species
ACUGCUCAGUAACACGUGGAUAACGUGCCCUUAAGAGGAGGAUAAUCUCGGGAAAUUGAGGAUAAUACUCCAUAGAUCAUGGGAUCUGGAAUGACCCAUGGUUCAAAGUUCCGGCGCUUAAGGAUCGGUCUGCGGCCUAUCAGGUAGUAGUAGGUGUAACGUACCUACUAGCCUACGACGGGUAUGGGCCUUGAGAGAGGGAGCCCAGAGUUGGAUUCUGAGACACGAAUCCAGGCCCUACGGGGCGCAGCAGUCGCGAAAACUUCACAAUGGGGGCAACCCCGAUGAGGGAAUUCCUAGUGCUAGCACAUUUGUGUUAGCUUUUCUUUAGCUUAGAAAACUAGAGGAAUAAGGGCUGGGUAAGACGGGUGCCAGCCGCCGCGGUAAUACCUGCAGCCCAAGUGGUGGUCGAUUUUAUUGAGUCUAAAACGUUCGUAGCCGGUUCGGUAAAUCUUUGGGUAAAUCGGGGGGCUUAACCUCCCGACUUCCGAGGAGACUGCCGAACUUGGGGACCGGGAGAGGCUAGAGGUACUUCUGGGGGUAGGGGUAAAAUCCUGUAAUCCUAGAAGGACCACCGGUGGCNAANGCGUCUAGCUAGAACGGAUCCNACGGUGAGGGACGAANCCCUUGGGUCGCAAACNGGGAUUAGAUCC